rnacentral:rRNA from 1 species
AGAUUGAACGCUGGCGGCAUGCCUUACACAUGCAAGUCGAACGGCAGCACGGGGGCAACCCUGGUGGCGAGUGGCGAACGGGUGAGUAAUACAUCGGAACGUAUCCUGUAGCGGGGGAUAACCUCUCGAAAGAGAGGCUAAUACCGCAUACGACCUACGGGUGAAAGAGGGGGAUCGCAAGACCUCUCACUAUUGGAGCGGCCGAUGUCGGAUUAGCUAGUUGGUGGGGUAAAGCCUACCAAGGCUACGAUCCGUAGCUGGUCUGAGAGGACGACCAGCCACACUGGAACUGAGACACGGUCCAGACUCCUACGGGAGGCAGCAGUGGGAAUUUGGACAAU